rnacentral:rRNA from 1 species
GAUGAACGCUGGCGGCGUGCCUAACACAUGCAAGUCGAGCGAACAAACGAGGAUCUUGCUCGUCUGCCGUUGGCGGCGGGCGGGUGAGUACUACGAGGCUAACCUGCCUAUAGGACUAGCAUAAGUAAGGGAAACCGGAUCCCACACCGGCUAAUAUAUUGAACGUCAGGGUUCUUUAGUGCUAUCCGGUUUUGCUGUCCCUUGUAGAUGGAUCCGCGCCGCAUUAGCUAGUUGGUAGGGUAACGGCUUACCAUGGCGACGAUGCGUAGCCGACCUGAGAGGGUGAUCGGCCACACUGGAACUGAGACACGGUCCAGACUCCUACGGGAGGCAGCAGUAGGGAAUCUUCGGCAAUGGGCGAAAGCCUGACGGAGCAACGCCGCGUGAGUGAUGAAGGUCUUCGGAUCGUAAAGCUCUGUUAGUAGGGAAGAACAAAUGUGAGAGUAACUCUGGACGUCUUGACGUUACCUAAAGAAAAAGCAACGGCUAACUACGUG